rnacentral:misc_RNA from 1 species
CUGCAGCCCGACUUGAGCGGAAAUCCUUUUUGUUAUUGCGAGUGUACAAAGGUUCAACAGAUUGCUUCAUUUCGUUCGCAAUGACAAAAAGAUUGGGAGCGGAAGGCGGAUUAAGC